rnacentral:rRNA from 1 species
GAGUUUGAUCCUGGCUCAGAACGAACGCUAGCUAUAUGCUUACAUGACAAGUACGGAACGUGGCUUGCUUCCCCAUACUAUGCCACGUGGGGGCAGUAAGGGCAGGCAAUGGCCUUCUCCUAUCAAAAUGACGCGUGCUCACUAAAAUGAAUGUAUGCGGGUUUGUCGUGGGGCACACAAGCAAAGUGGCGAACGGGUGCGUAACGCGUGGGAAUCUGCCGAACAGUUCACUCCAAAUCACUGAAUAAUUCAUAAACGCAAGCUAAUUUGCUGCUGUUCGAUGAGCCCGCGUAGUAUCAUGUAGUUGGUUAGUAAAGGCUUCCCAAGCCAAUGAUGCUUAUCUGGUCUUUUCGGAUGAUCANCCACACUGCGACU